UUGGCUACAACAAAUCUCAACCAUGAGAUUUAUUAAUCAUAUGAGAAGUAAUUUUGGGAAGAAUGAUCAUGUAAAAUUAGCGAGCUCAUAUUAUUAGGCCAUGUCUUGGACCCCUUAUUAUGGCUUAGGCGUUUUGCCAUGGGUUUCAAAACCCUUCACCAAAAAUUUGUUAGGGUUUAUGCUCAUUAUGGGUUCUUGGGCUGAGAAACACACAUGAAUCCAUAAGAACUUUGUCCCAAAAAAACCCACGAUUGUAACUGAAAUUUGAUUCAUCAUUCAUUUUCAGACAAUCAGAAGCAGCAUUUGUGCCAGCACUUGGGAACUUGAGUUGACUUGAGCCUUUCCAAGUUCCAACAGCCAGCAGAAUUGACCGUUUCUCAGAAACGAAGAUGAAGUUCUUGCUGUAUAUUCUUAGUCUUUGGAUAUCAGCCCCAACCUGUCCUCUUUUGAGUUUUGUUUUGGGCUUAGCUUUUUUCAGGUAUUGGUCUGCUAACCAUUUUUGUUGUCAUAGUAAGGUUAUUUGAGCUGUGUUUUGUUUACCAGUCUUGGUAUGGCUACCUCUUGUAGUCUCAGGUCACAUGAAAAUCCAUUGCAAUUUCUCUUCAAUGUCAAUGAUACCAAUGAUCCUAUUAAAAAAAAGACAUGGAUAUCCUCUAGUUCUGCAGAAAUUGCUGGGGAGCUACAAUUUAUCAAGGCUGGACAUUAGCAGCUUGGAUUAACUAUUGAUGUCCAAGAAAAGAACAGACAACCACAGAACAGGGAAGUGAAAGAAAUAUAUAGAAAACUUUUUUAUGAACAGAAAGCAGAACAGCAAUGGUGAGUAGCCAGGGUACGAUUUAUAGGGGAUCAUAUAUAUUGAUUGCAAACAGAACAUAUGUUGCUUGAAAAUAUGUGAAUGGUUUAAGGUCCUUGCAGCUUCACUGACAAUUCAUUCAUCUUCCUGAAUGAAUGGAGGGAAUUUCAUUAAUCAAAGAACCAGGCAAAGGAAACCUGAUUACAGAAGCAGCAAUUCAUCUACAGUUUUGGAAUUUUAGGGUAAACUUCUAUUUUCUCAGAAAUGGUUUGUCAUAAAUUUUUCUAUAAUAAGAGGCAGUUGUCAAAA